rnacentral:sRNA from 1 species
UCCUGAUGAACCACGGGGAUCCGACGGCU